rnacentral:lncRNA from 1 species
CUGACUCAUUUCUCGGAAUCUGAAAACCCAACUUCUUCUCCUUAGGUGCUUAGCAAUAAUUCCUUGAUCACACCCAUGGCAACAAUAUAAGCGCUUUUCCAAACUAUAUUGCCUUUACUACUGAACUAAAACUUGACGAAUUCAACAAUUCACUGACGGACUCAUGAUUUAGUAUCUUAAUCUGAGGCACCCAAAUGGUGUAAAUCAUCCCACGCCAAGCUAUAUACCAUCACCACCUGCAAGGCUGCAGCAACUUGGGAGCCCAAACUGUAGACCGAACAAACACCAUCACCAUGUCAAAACUUUAUAUAUAAGAAGAAACAUUGGCCUUAUAUCAAAUUUGGUAUUUAGCACCACUGAACAUGGGCAGAAAAGCAAUGACACAUACGCACAUAUGCGAGUUUUUGUAUCUUCUAAGCAAAAUGCAUACACUAACUAAAAUUGUCUAAAAAAACUGAAGAUCUACUUUACCAAGCUAACCGUUUAUUUGAGCCGGUACUUGCUAAAAACUGAUGCAUGAUGUCUAGCUUUUCCUCCCAUUAAAAACUGCAAAUAAGAAAUCAAUUAGUUAAAGUACCAAACGAAGACACCAAUAAUAAUUUCAAAGUAUCCUUAAUCACAUUGGACAUCUGGGCUAGCUCUGUCUAUCAUAAAGCUUUAGAAAUUAACCGAGCACAAUAAGAUAAAACUUCAGCUGCGGUUCCUCUGAUUCAGUUAUAAAAUUUUCUUACACGACUCAGUCAGAAAGAAAGCUUUCUGGGAUUUCACUGCAUUCUUGCGGAAGUAUCUAAACUUCAUUGUGGAAAUAUCAAUGGCAAAAUCUUUCUUCUUUCUUUUUUCCUUUUAAAAGGCUCUCACUUUAUGGUUCUUUAUAACUGAUGGAUGUUCAAAACCAUGUCACACUUAAAUUGAUAAAAUCUAUUAGCCUAUCAACUCAAUAAGGCCUACAGUUAAAGAAUAAAAGAAAUAGCCAUAAAAAGAAUUAAAUGUACCUGAGUGCAAUCAAUAGACAUAUACAUUAACUAAGAAACAAACACGGAACUAUAUGCUCUACCAUUCAAAUCAUUAAGAAGUAAGCAAAUAAUUUUCAAACAUUCGAAUGAACUUGCAUAAAUCGUACGAAACAUAUCAAAAUAUCAUACAAUAUUAAAUAUAAAUGAAGACUAAUAUCUCAAACUCAUUUAAAUAUAAAAAAGUAAUGGAAAAGUUGUUUAAGCGCUUUCAUUAAACACAUGGACUGCAAAACUAAAUCAUAAUAUAACACUUUCAACAAUCCAAAUCAACAUCGAUCCAGAAUUCCAGAUGCUACUUAAUUAGAUGGCCCCGAUAUAUUAGAAUCAUUUACAUAAUUUAGUAGCUCAGUUGAUUAAAUCUGCCAGGUGAAUACAGUAACAGAUCAUAAGUCAAAGCCCGAUUUAUUUCCACUGUCUCCUCUCUUUUUUCAUUUCUUUAGACCUCUCACAUUUUCAAGUCUUUUAUUUUGACAGUUACAUCUUCAAAGUCCUGCUCUAUCAGAAAUGUAUAGGAGAAAAUUGGGCCAAAGAUAAGAAAAAUACCUAUGACAUUAUAAUUGGUUGCGGAACUAUCUUCAACUGGACUCGAACUGAAAUCCAGUGUUCUUCUUGGAAUAUUGUUCUGAUUCCCAAAUAUAGUGGAGUCUCUAAAUGGGGUAUUCAGGCCUGUUGAGGGGAUAGAUGCCUCAGUUGUGUCAGGACAAUGUAAUUCAUGAGCAAAUG